GAAUCAUAAGAGCUCUUGGAGAAAGUCUUGGCGUGCUGAAGCUGAGCCUCACUGGUCCAUUUGGACGCCAGUCAACAUGCGCGCGCGCGCGCGCACAAGAAUAACACCCAUCCUCCACAUUUGAAGCACAAGGUAACUCUACAGUAGUGGUCGGCGGGCUCUCUGGUGGUUCAAGAAAUAAUCACUGCCUAAGGACAGAUCACUUGUCAUUAGUAACUUUGUAACCUUGUAAUUAUAAGUUAAAUAUAUUUGCAUGUCUUCAAACAUUCACAUUUGUAAUAUUACAGUGGCUUACAAAACAAAAAUAGUACUUUUGUCGUUCAUGACGGUGGGACUUGGAGCUAAGUAUUUUUUUUUGGUGGUACUUGGUGUAAAAAGCUUGAGAAACAUCUUUGUAAUCCAUCAAGUGUUGGCAUUGCUGUGAUGAACAAACAACAGAACUCAGUCUGUAGUUUUGGCAUUUUUUUCCCCCAGUGUUGGAUGAAGCACAGUCUUCAUGGACAAUUUCAUAGAAACAUACAAUUGGUUGCAAAAUAUCACUAUGUUAGCAACAAAUGCAAGU